rnacentral:rRNA from 1 species
UACGUAGGGUGCGAGCGUUAAUCGGAAUUACUGGGCGUAAAGCGUGCGCAGGCGGUUUUGUAAGUCUGAUGUGAAAGCCCUGGGCUCAACCUGGGAAUUGCAUUGGAUACUGGCAGGCUAGAGUGCGGUAGAGGAUGGCGGAAUUCCCGGUGUAGCAGUGAAAUGCGUAGAGAUCGGGAGGAACAUCUGUGGCGAAGGCGGCCAUCUGGACCAGCACUGACACUGAGGCACGAAAGCGUGGGGAGCAAACAGG